UACGAAGGGGGCUAGCGUUGUUCGGAAUCACUGGGCGUAAAGGGCGCGCAGGCGGUUCUGUUUGUCGAGUGUGAAAGCCCCGGGCUCAACCUGGGAACUGCGCUCGAAACGGCGGAACUAGAGUUCGGGAGAGGAGAGUGGAAUUCCCAGUGUAGAGGUGAAAUUCGUAGAUAUUGGGAAGAACACCGGUGGCGAAGGCGGCUCUCUGGACCGAUACUGACGCUGAGGCGCGAAAGCGUGGGGAGCAAACAGG
rnacentral:rRNA from 1 species